rnacentral:RNase_P_RNA from 1 species
UGAGUAAGCUAGAUGAUCGCAUCUAUAAAUUUGUUAUAGAUGAGGAAAGUCCGAGCUCCAUAGGGCAGGAUGCUGGGUAACGCCCAGUGGAGGCGACUCCAAGGAAAGUGCAACAGAAAGAUACCGCCUCGCAUUCAAUGUAAAUUCUAAAUUAAUAUAUUUAGAGUUUAUAUUGAGUGUGUGGUAAGGGUGGAAAGGUGAGGUAAGAGCUCACCAGCAUCUAGGCGACUAGAUUGGCUAUGUAAACCCCAUCUGGAGCAAGACCGAAUAAGGGACAUGAAGUGGUUGCCCGCCACGUCCUGGGUCAAGGUCGCUUGAGUCUACCGGCAACGGUAUGACCUAGACAGAUGAUCAUCCUCGACAGAACUCGGCUUAUUGCUUGCUCAUAAU